GCACGAAGUUAGCCGACCCUUAUUCUUAUGGUACAAUCAGCCCCGGACACGUCCAGGGGCUUUUUUCCCAUACAAAAGAAGUCUACAAUUCGUAGAACCUUCAGUCCUUCACGCGGCAUGGCUGGAUCAGUCUUGCGACCAUUGUCCAAUAUUCCUUA
rnacentral:rRNA from 1 species